UUCAAUUAAAACUUUUCCACAGAGAAAAUCCUAGACCCAGACAAAUUCACUAAGUAAUUCUACAACAUUUAAGGAAAAAAAUAAUACCAGUUCUACAAAAAUAAUUCUAGAAAACUGAAAAGGAAGGAAUAUUUCCCGAUUGAUUGUAUCCCUUGUGAACAUAGAUGUGAAAAUUCUUAACAAAAUUUUACUAAAUCAAAUCCAAAACUAUAUAAAUAGAACAGUACAUCAUGGCCAAGUAGGGUUUGUCUCAGGAAUACAAGACUAGUAUAGCUUUCCAAAAUCAACUGAUAUAAUCUCCAUAUUAACAAGCUGAAACAGAAAAACUAUAUUUCCAUCUCUCUUUUUUUUUGGUACUGGGGAUUGAACUUGGGUCCUUGCACUUGCGCAGCAGGUGGUGAAAACACUGAGCUAAAUCCCCGGCAUGUAUUUCCAUCUUAAUAAAUGUGGCAAAAGCAUUUGAAAAACAUACAACAUCCAUCCUUGAUAAAAACACUCAGCAAAGUCUUAACAGAAGAGAACUUCUUCAACCUGAUAAAGGGAAUUUACAAAGAAAAGAAAACAAACAAACAAACCACCUACAAAAGUGUCAUAGUCAAUAGUGAAAGGCUGAAUAUCUUCCCCUAAGAUCAAGAACAAGGCAAGUGUGUCCACUCACCACUUCUGUUCAGGUCUGCCCUGGAGGUGCUGAUCAGUGACAAAAAGCAGAUCUGGGGAUGGGGGGUGAGAAUCAGGGAGGGGAAGGGGAGGAGGAAGGAUCAAGAUGGAGAGUGUGUAUGCAACAAUACCUGUGAUGAUACAUUCAUUACAUAUUGCAAACAUACACUAAUAAAUUUAAAAAAUAAAACAUGAAGAAGAAAUAAAAAACAUCCAGAUUGGGAGGAAAGUAAAAUUAUCCCUAUUCACACAUGUCAUGAUCAUCUCUGUAGAAAGUCCAGUGGAAAAAACUCUUCAAAUGACCAGAAUGAAUGUGAGUAUAGCGAAUUUGCACAUCACAAGACUAGUAGUUUUUUAAAGUUGUAUUUCUGUAUACUAGCAAUAAAAAUCAUACAUUAAAAUUUUAAAAUACAAAAAAUAACAUCAGAAAAUAUGAGACACUAGGGGGUAAAUCUGACAAAAUAUUUGGAAACUAUAAGACACUGCUGAGGGAAAUUAAAAGAGACAUAUCAUGUUCAUAUGUCAGAAUACUCGGUGUUAUUACAAUGUCAAUUCUCACCAAAUUCAUCUACAGAUUCACAAUAAUCCCAAUCAAGCAGACUUUUUGUAUAUAUUACCAAGGUGGUUCUAAAAUGUACAAGUAAAUGCUGAGGAUCUUGAAUAUUUAAAACAACUUUGGAAAGAAGGACCUACACUGCCUGAUUACAAGAUUUACUACAAAGCUAUAGUGAAUAUAAGACAGUGUAGUGUCGUCUCAAAGAGACAAGUCAGCGGAAGAGAACAGAGACACAGAGUGGUCAUGAACAGCUGCUUCACCACUGGUGGAGAGCAGCUGGGAAGCCAGAAUGGCUCACCCCAGGAGGACACACCUACUCCCAAUGUGCUGCACCCAACCUCUGGCCCAGAUGUACCACCAAUAUCCAUGUCCUCCUCCACCAGACGAUCCUCUAGACCCAAGGCAUCAUCACUGCCAAAAACAGCAAGUGAAUCCUCUUCCCUUCUGUAUUUCAGGGUCACCCCUCUGGCAGCAAACUUGACUUUCCAGUGUCAGUGAACAGUUGUUGUUCCUAACACUUUCCAUACUUUGGGGCCCCUGUGAGUACACCCCUGGCCUGCUUUUGAUGAGUUAUAAUGGGGAGCAGUGACCCUUUUCCACAGAACUCAAUCCCUGUAGUCAUGCCCAGACUGUAGAGGCCCAGACUGAUUGUGUAGCUAGAGUAGAGGACUGACCUCACAGAGAUGCUUACAGGGUUGCCAGGCAGAGCAUCACAGAAGGGCAGGUAUGUGGUACUGUGGUAGCCAUGGCCAGAGUGCCUCACCCAGCCAGGGCAGGACAAAGGGAUAGCACAGUGGAGGUGGCUUUAAAUCAGGACCUGAAGAAGAGAAAUGAAAGACUGGGGAGUACUGCAGAGAAAACAGAACAUUGUUUUCUUUGAGACUUCAUUAUCAUCAAGACAUCAAGGAAAGCACCUGCAGUCCCUAAGCAGCCUUCACCUAGCCAAGGACACCCCACCCCCACCAGGGGAAGGAAGGCUGACUGACUGCUGCCCCUCAUCAUUGCUGCCUGCAUUGUGGGAGAACACAGGCUGGAUGAGUGGACCCUUUGAAGACACCACACUAUGCAAACCCUACCUGUGCAGACCAACAGCAGCAUGGGACUGCUUCUAAAUGCAGGGUCACACCCCACUGAAACCUGCAUUUCAAUGAGAUCCAAAUUGCGUGUGCUCCUUGGGGUUUGAAAGCUGUGGGCUAGAGCAUGUGUAUGCCCCCACUCCAACUGGAGGAAAAACCAAAUUCCCUACAGCUCUCAAUCAUAAGCCUGACCCCAUCGCAGUAAACAAUGCUGAUGGUCAGUGAAGUGUUUGUAUUUACUGCUCCCAGCAGCCCUCAGAGUUGACAAUGUUAUUAUGUUCCCUUGGUUAAGGUGGAGAUGCCAGGCUGCCAGAGAUUAAGGGAAAUGCCACUGUUUUCCUCAGCAUGUAAGAAGCAAAGCUGAUCAGCCUGAUUCCCGUAGAUGCUGUGGAUUCCCUGGAAGCACACAGGAGGUGAGCUGCUCCCAGUGCACAAGAGGAGGCUUCCAGACCGCCAUACCACCCCCGUCAUUACACAAGAGGUGAGCCACUCCCAGCGCACAAGAGGAGGCUUCCUGGCCACCAUACCACCCCCGCCAGCACACAGGAGGUGAACCGGGAGGGCGCCAACAGCAAUCGCCCUACCCAGUCGAAAUGAGAACACACAUAAAUAAGUCUCAAAAUCAGACUUUCAGAUCAACU